rnacentral:tRNA from 2 species
GGAGGAUUGGGUGAGUGGUUGAAACCAGCAGUUUACUAAACUGCCGAGCCUUAAACAGCUCCGUGAGUUCGAAUCUCACAUCCUCCGCCA